rnacentral:rRNA from 1 species
AUUGAACGCUGGCGGCAGGCCUAACACAUGCAAGUCGAGCGAGUGGCGGACGGGUGGGUAAUGUCUGGGACACUGCCUGAUGGAGGGGGAUAACUACUGGAAACGGUUGCUAAUACCGCAUACCAUCGGAUGUGCCCAGUUGGGAUUAGCUAGGAGGUGGGGUAAAGGCUUACCUAGGCGAGGAUCCUUAGCUGGUCUGAGAGGAUGAACAGCCACACUGGAACUGAGACACGGUCCAGACUCCUACGGGAGGCAGCAGUGGGGAAUAUUGCACAAUGGGCGCAAGCCUGAUGCAGCCAUGCCGCGUGUAUGAAGAAGGCCUUCGGGUUGUAAAGUACUUUAAGCGGGGAGGCGUUACCCGCAGAAGAAGCACCGGCUAACUCCGUGCCAGCAGCCGCGGUAAUAC